UAUUCUAAGCAUGGUUUAGGAAUUACCCAAUCGAGAAGAUAAACAAAAUCUUCCUUUGGCCUGUAGCUUGUGUUACUUUUUCCACUAACAAUUUCCAAAGCAACAACCCCAAAACUGUAAACAUCAGCUUUGUCUGUCAAAUAACCACGCAUUGCAUACUCAGGAGCCAUGUAUCCGCUGCAGGAAGAAUAACAACAAAAUGAUUGAGUCAAAUAUCUGCUCUGUAGUUGAAUGGAAUUAUUUGGAAGGGGCAUGGAGAGAAGAAAAAACUUACAUAGUCCCAGCUAUUCUUGUACUUAUGUGUGUGUGAUCAUCAUCGUUAAGCUUUGCUAGCCCAAAAUCGGAGAUCUUGGCACUCAAGUCUUUGUCAAGCAGUAUAUUGCUAGCCUUGAUAUCUCUGUGCACAAUCCUUAUUGCAGACUCCUCAUGUAGAUAUGCUAAACCCCUUGCUAUUCCCAGGCAAAUCUUACGUCUCGUCGGCCAAUCCAAGCUC
rnacentral:sRNA from 1 species